rnacentral:lncRNA from 1 species
CAUUUGAAUAUUUUUUUUUUACUGAAAUAUAAGUAAAUAUAAUUUGCAUUUGUAAAUUAAUUAUAUUAAUAAGUAAUAAAAUAAAAAGACCAAACAUGAAAAAAAAAUUACGUUGCAAAAAAUUAAUUUCAACCCGUAAAAGAAUAAAUAUAAAAAAGACUAUAAUACAUAAUCAAAAAUCAUACAAUAACAAAUAAAUUUCAAUUUAGAAACUCAUCUAUAAACAAAAUCAUUAACCAAACAUCACAUAAAGGCACAUUAACAACAUAAUAUUAAAUAUAUAUUUUUCAUUUUUAAUAUCAAAUAGUACUAUUACCAAGUUAAGAAAUUAACAAAGCACCAUAUAGAAUAAAUAUUUCAUAGAGUCGAAACUUCCACACACAUCAUAAUACCAUCCAAAAGUGGAAGCUUAAACACUUACAUUAUAAAAAUUUAAAAGUUCUUGCACUAAAAAAAGGCAAGCCAAAAAAGUCUAAACCCAACUAUCCAACUCUAAUAACACAAUUUCUUCAAUCAUGUCCGCCUAAGAUGCGGAAAAUGUAUUGCUUUCGGUAAUGAUCGGGCAUGCACUAAAAUGUGUGUAAUUCUGUAGAAUCACCCGUUAGGAUUUCAGUGGCAUCCAUUAUUUGCCUGUCCUCAAGUCCCUCGAUCUUUAGUAUCUCUUCAAACAACUUCUUCUUUAUGGUCUCAUUAUUUGCCAUGAAUUGAAAGCAAUUAGCAAGCUGACCUAAGUGCUCGUUGGCAUCGUUAAAUGAAAUUCCAAGUGAACGCAAAGGUUGAACAAAAUUGUUCAUUGAUCAAAUCCUCUCCAAGUGGUGACUUUCGCUUCUUUGAUUUUGUCAAUGUGCCACCAUUCGAAGUGUUUACUCGAGCUAAAAAACAUCUCGACAUCAGGAUCUUAGGUGGAUGCGUGUGUCAUUAACUCUUCCUCUAGGGUUUUUAUUUUUAACUAGGGUUUUUAUUUUUAGGCCAACACAUGAUUAAUUAGGGCAUAAAAAAUAUAUAAAUUUUUCCCUAACAUUUCCAAAUCAGAUCCAGGAAAAGGGAGAUAAAAAAAAAAAAAAAAAAAAAAAAAAAAAAAAAAANAACGGGUCAUUUAAUGCGCGCCAGACCGUACGGCAGGGCAGUAUACGUAUGUCAAGAAAUACGCGGGAGGCUAUUGUAUAGGAGGGGCAUUUUGGUCAGGCGGCGGAAAAAGCGGACCGAAUCUGCAAAAAGGAAAAAGGUGGCCCGAUUUUGCAAAAUCCCAAAAUAAGUGGAUUUUUUAUGCAAAUUGGCCUAAUAUAUAUUCCGAAUCAACUUCGUUGUGCCAUGUAAGAAAAGAGUUUAAUGAAAAUUAAUGCGGUAACUUAAUUUAUAGCAAAAUGAUAUUU